UCAGAACCAAGACAAAGAGGUAGACAAA
rnacentral:piRNA from 1 species